GGGAAGCUGUUUCUCAGACAGGAGCAGCGACACCCCUGCCACGCCUGCCGCCUGGAGUUGAGUGGGGUCCCCGUGCCGCCUUCAGCGCGCCUCCUUAUGCACCUCUACCUCUGCUGCAGCGUACCUCUUCCGCAGCCCUAGCGGCCUCCCCGAGGGGCGCCGCGGCCUCGGCUGUCCCUCCCCUGCCUGGCACGACCACCUGACCCCCAGCGACCCAAGAAGCAAGUUGUGUUUGCAGACGCAAAGGGGCUGUCGUUGGUAUCGGUGCACUGGUUUGAAGCCACUGCGGGCACAGCCUGAAGAGGGCCGGUGUCCCGCGUGCAGCCUCCCCGGCCCGGCCUCCUCCUGCUGCAGAACCGCCCCCCACGCCCGGGCUGCUGCGCCCCAGGAGGGACUAGCGGGUAUUCAGGGAUGCCCGCACUCUCGGGGGCGAGCCUGCAGCUGUGUGCCCUGUAGGGGCUUCCUGCGGGGCACCGUGAGCGCAGGUGGGGACAAGCGGGCCGUGCAGAUGCGCACCCCCUGGAUGCCUGGGGCUCCUUCCAACAAGAGCCCUGUGUUGGAAUGCCGGGUCCCCGCCGAGGUGAGAGGGUCGGCUUCGCCUUCCAGGUGGUGUUGCCGCCGAGUACCCUGGCCCCGCGGGCCACCGUCCAGUUCUGCUUCUCUUUAGAGCGUGCUCAGCGGCCUUUCGGGGACAGUAAUCAAAGGCAAAACUACAGCUGGGUGCCGGGUUCGCCGUCCUGCUCAUCAGAAUGAAGCCAGGCUCUGUGAGGGCGCACAGACAGACAGGCUGAGGCCUCUGCGCCUGCCUUUUCCACCUGGGCAAAGCGUGAUUUCUUGUCCAGGACGCGCGUGUUUCCCAUGUCGGGGAACUUUGCUCAAUCUGUUUUCUUGCUCCUGAAUUCAUAAUGGGGAAACAGGACUGAUUCAACUCCUAGUCCCUGCAGAAGGCCUCGAAUGCCUUGCAUUCUUCUCUCACUUCCUGACUACAAGGGAUGAGGUUUUGCUUUAGGAAGAUUCUGGGAAUGGAGUCGGGAAACCGAAGAAAUGCAAAUAAAGUAUUUAUAUGUAAUUAUUGAAAGGGCUUAGCAGAGAGUGUCUAAGGACCGUGGGUGGUGUGUGCGUGCGCAUGUGUGUAUGUUUGUGUGUGUAUUGCAGAGGUUGGGGAGGGGUUCUUUACGUUAAAGAUGGGAGAGAGAACUUUGCCCUUCUACUUUCCUCUCCAUCUAGGAAGGGCUACUUUCCUGGUAACUUGAAAUAGUCAGGCUUAUUCCACUUUUGCCAAAAGGAAUGUUCAUUAAAGCAUCUUCAACAGUUGAUAUAAUAAACACUUUUUCUCCCUCUUCAUCAUAUAAAAGUGUGGGGAGACUCUGUCUCUGUUCAUUUCAAAAUAUGGGUACUUUUAAAAACACUUAUUUUCAGUAGUUUAGUACACUUUAAUUUUUAAUUUUAAUUUUUAUUAUUAUUUUUUAGACAGUAUCUCCUCAUGUUGUCCAAACUGGUCUUGAACUCCUGGGUUCAACUGGUCCUCCUGCCUAAGGAUCACUCAGAGUGUUGGGAUUACAGGUGUGAGCCAUGGUGCCUGGGUACUACUUUUU
ensembl:lncRNA novel transcript